rnacentral:misc_RNA from 1 species
UGGUCACCGCGCUCUCCUCCCCCGCCGCCGCCUCCGCCGCCUCGGGCGGGCGGUUGGGGUCGCCGAACUGUCCGGCGGAGUUGAGCAGCACGACGCCACGGACCAGCUCCGGCACCUCGGUCGCCGCGAACAGCGUCGUGAAGCCGCCGAGGCUGUUGCCGACGAUGACGGCCGGGUCCUUGACGACGUCCCGGAGGAAGUCGCGGACCUGCUCCAUCCAGA